GUACAUGAAGGCAGGGUAAAGUGACUAGACAUCAGGAUAGAUAAUAAUAAGGUAUUAGAGGUAGAUAUGUACAUGAAGGCAGGGUAAAGUGACUAGACAUCAGGAUAGAUAAUAAUAAGGUAUUUGAGGUAGAUAUGAACAUGAAGGCAGGGUAAAGUGACUAGACAUCAGGAUAGAUAAUAAUAAGGUAUUUGAGGUAGAUAUGAACAUGAAGGCAGGGUAAAGUGACUAGACAUCAGGAUAGAUAAUAAUAAGGUAUUUGAGGUAGAUAUGUACAUGAAGGCAGGGUAAAGUGACUAGACAUCAGGAUAGAUAAUAAUAAGGUAUUUGAGGUAGAUAUGAACAUGAAGGCAGGGUAAAGUGACUAGACAUCAGGAUAGAUAAUAAUAAGGUAUUUGAGGUAGAUAUGUACAUGAAGGCAGGGUAAAGUGACUAGACAUCAGGAUAGAUAAUAAUAAGGUAUUUGAGGUAGAUAUGUACAUGAAGGCAGGGUAAAGUGACUAGACAUCAGGAUAGAUAAUAAUAAUGUAUUUGAGGUAGAUAUGUACAUGAAGGCAGGGUAAAGUGACUAGUCAUCAGGAUAGAUAAUAAUAAGGUAUUUGAGGUAGAUAUGUACAUGAAGGCAGGGUAAAGUGACUAGACAUCAGGAUAGAUAAUAAUAAGGUAUUUGAGGUAGAUAUGUACAUGAAGGCAGGGUAAAGUGACUAGACAUCAGGAUAGAUAAUAAUAAGGUAUUUGAGGUAGAUAUGUACAUGAAGGCAGGGUAAAGUGACUAGACAUCAGGAUAGAUAAUAAUAAGGUAUUUGAGGUAGAUAUGAACAUGAAGGCAGGGUAAAGUGACAUCAGGAUAGAUAAUAAUAAGGUAUUUGAGGUAGAUAUGUACAUGAAGGCAGGGUAAAGUGACUAGACAUCAGGAUAGAUAAUAAUAAGGUAUUUGAGGUAGAUAUGAACAUGAAGGCAGGGUAAAGUGACAUCAGGAUAGAUAAUAAUAAGGUAUUUGAGGUAGAUAUGUACAUAAAGGCAGGGUAAAGAGACAUCAGGAUAGAUAAUAAUAAGGU